GAUUGUAAUAGCUAUUUUCAACACAAAGCCAAGAUUUUCCUUCUAAGUUUAGGUAUCACCUAGAACAAGGUGCAGCCUGAACUACAAACCAGCCCUGUAGCAAACAGAAAGAAUCCUCUUCAGUCAAGGAAGUAAGGAAUGCUCUUUUCCAUUUAAAUGAAAUUAUCAAAGUCACACACGAGGAAUGAGGGGUGGUUAAACUUUCAGAAACUUCAGUGUAACUUGAGGGCUCAGUCUCUGCUUGUCCUCUCACUUCAAUAUUGAAAACUCGAUGUGAUUUGCCUGUCUCCGUAUCCUUAAGUGGAGUCUGAGUAGCUCAGGUGGAUUUACACAAACUUUGUUUGCAAGAGAUCAGUAUCUUUUGCCCAACUACUUCCACAGCAUUUAUUUUCUAGAUGAAACAUUCAAAGCAGGUUAAUGCAUAUCGCUCUGUGGGUUUUUUUUACUACUCUGAAGUUACAAAGCUCGCUGUAUGUUACUGCACAAAGUUUGCAAUAACUUGCUAUUCAGCAUUCAAGGUGGUGUAUUACCAGAGCUUGCUCUGCCUCACCUUGCCAGAAUACAAAGUUUCAUUCAAUGCUGCUUCAAAGCAAUUGCUGAAAUUUGGUUACAAGGUGGCUGAUGGCCUUGGAACAGGAGGAACACAUGUCCACCUGCACUUUUUCCAACCGCAUAAAAAUUAAUAGGUAGGUUUAGAAAUCCAUUAAGUAAAUUACUCCUGUAGUUUACUAGUAGCAGAAUUGCUAAAACAACAGAAGUUAGCUUAAAAUCUUUCCUCAUGAAUAGUGCUCUGCAAAUAGUGAGAGGGUAAAAGAGCAGUUAAUUACUCUGGAUUAAAAUACUUGAGUUUUCACACAGGAUUUUGCCAUCACCAUGGCACAUUAACUUUAGUCUUUGAGUGCUCAAAGCAGCAUGUAUCACAAUCUUCUCUCCAAACUUUAAAAUGAAACAAAAACAAAAAAACCAGAAGCAAUCUUUUCCAGUUUUUUUCAGGGGUUGAAUUAAAGCAGAAAAGCAAGUUUGAAAGAAGUAUCUGAGUUCUCAGCUAACAGCUGCUUUGAUAGUAGAAAUUAUCACUAAGGAGUCAAGAGCUAAUGGGGUUUAGUUUUAAAAAGUAUUCAACAGAGAGACGUGUGAAAUUUUAAGACUGAAAUGCAGGACAAGGGCAACUUACCUCUCCUGGCAAGAGUGAUUUGAUGAAAGACCAAGACAUCCCUACACACAAAGAGGAUUUGACUGAAGUAGGACUUAGGCUGUUAUAUUAAAAAACAGGCAGUAAGAAUUAAGCUCUGUUUCCCUGUCCAGCUGGCAAGAGUGGUUGCCCACAAAAGCAGUGAGUAAGCAGGAGUGGUUCAGGAACCUGUCAUGGGAGAUGCAGCCAGUCCAAGGCAUGCAGCUGCUUUCUGCUCACUCUCAAGAGAGAAGUAAAUGGCAGCAAAACCUCAUGACCAUUGUAUAACCAGUUCAAGCCAUUAAGUGUUCUGACACUGAAGAAUAUAGUCAACAGAACAUAUUUCAAAGCAAGAACACAAUGGUUCCAACAAGCUAAACAGCCUGAGCUGGUUCCCAGUUGUGCCCAUGACUUCCAGAGUGCACAAGGUUUGUUUCUGCCACCAGUAUGUUCCUGGUGGUGCUUUUGGAAAAGUCAAGUACAACUGACACAGCAGAACAGAGCAGUACCAUUUAAUGCACUCGAAAUAAUACUGAUCAGAUCAGUCUUUCCCUACACACAAGAACUCUCCCUUAAAAAGUUCAGUGUUGCCAGGGUUUUUGGAGCACCACAGUGAUAUUUCUUUCUUUACUUCUGUAUUAUUGUGGCUACAGGUACCAAGAAUAAUGCGGAGGCAGAAGAACCAAGACAUGCCAGCCACAGGCUCACAAUGUGUAUUAAAAAAAUCCAACUAUUAUCUCACAAGGGGGGGAAAAAAAAGGAGACACAUGGAAGCUGUCGAUUCCCAUUGCUUUUUUUUUUUUGCUCUGCAACAGUUUGGAACUAUUCAAUCAACAAGAACGGGAGUGCCAGGGUGACAGCAGCUGGAAACAUCUAUUUUCUGAAAGUGGAUUACACAGAAGAAAACAGAUAUUUUGGGAAUGUUUUAGAUAUGACCCUUUGAAUUGUCAUCUUGGACCUUUAAGUAGUCCAUGUAUAUAAGCAGUCCACGUAAAAAUAAUUUUUUUUCCAAAUAUAUUAAGAAUUUCAGAGUCCCCCUUUA